rnacentral:tRNA from 1 species
AGAGGCGUAGUUUCAACGGUAAAACUUAGGUCUCCAAAACCUACAUUGCAGGUUCAAAUCCUGCCGUCUCUA